ACAGCGACCUGAAAAGAGGGGCUCAGAAGCGUGGCGGGGGUAGGCUGAACUAAGAGGGGACCAGAUCCCAAGGAGAAACACUGAAAGAUAUUUUCUAAGCCAGGAUGACCGUGGCUUCUCAGCACUCAAUCCUGCAAUACCAACACUCAGAAGAUGGAAAGAGGGGAAAUGGGAGUUCAAGAUUAACCUGGGUUAAAUAGUGAGUUCAAGACCAGCACAAUCUACUUCAUAAGCCUCUGUCUCAAAGACCAAGCUUCUCCUAAUUCCCCUACCCCAAAUUUCAUAUAAUCAUGUGAUAGACUUUUUUGGGAGAAAUUCAGCUUUUCCAAGUGUCUAGUUCUAGUACUGAGUAUUCUGAGAGAUCCUAAUAUUAUAGUCUUCAUUCUAUGAGACACUAUUUUUAAUACUAAAUUGAGAAAAAUGGUUAA